rnacentral:lncRNA from 1 species
AUGAAUACCAUUUUGAUUUAUGAGUUAAAAUUACAUAAACUAUAUGUUUUUUUUUUAUCACUUUAUUAGAUUCUUACAAAUAUUAUAUAUAAUUUUUUGUUUUUAUAAUUUAUAGUAUAAAAGACUAUUAUUACCACAUUUCUGCCAUUUUUUAUAUAAAAACUUGUAGCUGGUAUAAAAAUAACAUUGCCUUAUAAUUCUUGAAAUUUUGAUAAUUGAAAUGAUAUAUUUAUUUAUAAAAUAUUAAUAAAGACAAUUAAAGUCCCUAACAUACAAGUUUUGGAGUUGAUUAACAUUUUGCAUACAGAAUCACAAAAGUCUAAAAGCAUUGUUAUAUAUAUAUUUUAGCCAUUAAUCAAAAUUAUAAUCAUUAAAUAAUUUGAAAUAAAUAAGAUGUAUUAAAUAAUUAUGUAUUAUUUAUAUCUUUAAUUUUAUAUAUCUAAGAAUUUAAUACCAAAUUAAUAUGUUUCUUCUUCAUUUAAAAAUAUUGUCGAUUUUUAGGCAUUCAAUACUGCUACUCUUAUGAUUUGAGAUUUUGCAUAUUUUAACUCAAGAUAAUUUUAAAAUUUUGAUAAAUUUAGAAUAAUAAAUAUUGCAAUGAUCUUGAAUUUUUUGCUUUGCAUUUAUUUAGAUGUAUCUAAAAAUAUUAUUAUAAAAUUAGAGAUAUCCUUGAUAUUAUUAAAAAAUUAGAAUAAAAUUUGGUGAUAUACUAUAUUAUUUUAUAAAUAUUUGUACAGAUAGUCCUUCUCUAUGCAUGCAAAACUUAUGUAAAAUGCUUAAGUUACUUACAACAUUUGUUAUGUAAAUACUUUGUCGAUGAGUUUUAAUAUAACUAUAACAUUUACAUUCCACGAUAACCAAAAUAUAAAAAAUCAUAUCUAUAUAUGAUUAAAACAACACAUUAUGAAUAAUUACACUGAUUUUAUUUAAUACCGUCUAUAAAAGAAAAAUAUCUAACAAAUAAUAAAAUUAAUCAUUGUAAAUUUGAACAUUGAUAGGCUCUAUACCAAAAAACGUUUGAAAUGAAAAAAUCAAUAGAUCUUUUUACAAAAGUGAGUAAAUUAGAACUUAUUAUUUUCUAAGAAUGUUAGAUUGAUUAAUUGAUUUUUUUUUUAUUUAUUUUUAAAUCAAAGAGAAACACUGUCAUAGGUCAAAUAUUGAUACAAACGCUUAUGCAGGAAUUUCAUAAAGGUUGUGUUUUUCAAAAUACAUGUGGACUAUGAUGUGAGAUACAAAAAUAGUUCAAAAAGAAAAAAGAGAAUAAAAACCUAUUCAAAGAAUAAAUCCUAAAAUAAAAACAAUAUUUUUGAAAAGCAAGCUAACCAUAAUUUUAGUUUUGUUGAGUAUAAUAUCUAAAACUGUAAAUGGCAUUGUGACAUUUAAAUCACAUAAGGGUAUGUUGAAUGAAUUUAUUUACAAUUAAAGAAUGAAAUCAUUACUGAUUAUUUAACAAAGCAAUGGAUAAAAUUGGUUGCACAAACUUUCAACAACAUAUUCCAAUUUGGUUAUUUGAAAAGAAUUUAUUGGCACAUGCACACAACAAAAGGGAUUGAUGAUAAGAUGUUAUUGACAUUGGGUGAAGCAUUGGAACAUAAAGCGCACCAAAAUGGCACAUUUGUACAAACAAAGUGACUUAAUCCAAUGCAACACAAUGACUUGUAGACAAAGAACAAGAAUGCAUGGAAUAAUGUGUGAACAAAGGGUAAUAUGACAGAAUGAAAGAAUGAAACAAGGAAUGACACAAAGAAUGAGCAAGAGUUGUGGACCUCACAUUAAAUUGACAAAGAAGAGACAAAGAUGACAAUGGGAUUAUGCCAAAGUCUCCUUGACUUAUAUUCAUACUUAAUAGAAUCUAUGUAUGGCUGGCAUUCUAAUACCCUACCUUUCAAACUGGGGUUUAAUGUAGACUAUUCAUGUGUUGACAAUUUGUAUAAAAAAAGAAUGACAUAAUUUAGAUUAUCAAAAAAUCCAAUUGUGUAAAUAAUAUCAUUUUGUGUGUGUGUGUGUGUAUUUGUUUGUUUGUUUGUAGGAGGUAGAUUUUUUUGGUGAAAGUACUUGACAUACAGACUACUCAUUUAAAAAAUUGAGUUAGUUAUAUGUGUGUACCCACAUGUACUACUCGGAAUGAGUUAGUUAUAUGUUUCAAUAUUCAUCAACGUUUACUUUGAAAGUUUUAAUAUUAUUGACAAAUCAUUGUAAUAAAAGUUUUCAAUUCAUAAUCAUCUCUGUGAAAGAAUCUGGCAUUUUUUUUUUUUUUAAAUUAUUUAUUCAUAUUUCAAUUUUUAAUGUUUUACUUUGAUUUGUUUCUAAUGAAAGAGUGUCAUAUUACAUUGCAAUCAUUAGCUGUAAUAAAAUAUACAUACACACACAUACAUACCAGAAUUGCUAUGUUCCUCUCAAAUGUUUAUUUUGGGUGUACCUUAAGUUCAAAUAGGAAUAUAUAUGUAUAUAUAUCAUACUAAAUUGAAGGAUUUAACUUUAAACAACAAGUGUCAUAUAAUUUAAAAUUGUGUCAAAGUUUGCAUGCACCAAUGCAACAUAUUUUAACGUUUAAUUUUUUGGAUUACUUAUUUUUUUUGACAUAAUUUAACAUUGACAUGUGGUUUGUGUAGAAACAACUCAAAUUUUUAUGGGAAUGCUUAUAUUAUUCAAUUGUAGCAAACAAACAAUUAAAUGAUUGUUGAAUCAAUAUUGGCAACAUAAUUAUUAAUGCUAGCUGCAUUAAAUAGUGAUGAAAACUUAUUGCAGAACUUGUGAGUAGACAGGUGGUAAUUAUAUUCCAAUAUGUUGGUGAAAAUUUAUUGAUCUAGACAUUUUAAUAUAUUUAUCAUCAUACAUACAUGUGUAUUCAUUUGGUGGGUGUCCCAAUCUAACAUUCUGAAAUUAAUAUACUUAUACUAGAAAAAUAAUUGUGUCUUUUAAGUAUUUUUGUAAUUUUCAACUUUAAACCAUUAAUGGAGGACACGAGCAUGAAAUUUCAAAUAUUAAACUCUAAUUUAACUUUUAAAAGUUUCACUCUAUCAAUGAAAUUGCGAAUUUCAAUGUUCAAUCACACCAUACAAGCAUACGAAAAUUUAAACCAGUCAAAAGACAGUUAAAGAAACAAAAAAAAAUAUCAACAAUAUUAUAUAUAUAUAUAUAUAUAUAUAUAUACCAUAAAAUCAUACAAUAGCUGUGCAAAAUAUGAACAAGACAUGACAGAACAUAUAUAUAUAUAUAUAUACAUAUGGGAAUGUCAAAUUGACCCCAGCUUUUGCUGAAUCAACCCACUUAUCAAAACCAUCAUUAUCAAAAGCUUUAUUAUAAAAAUGUUUUGUGACUAAAUGUUACUAAUGUUGCAUUGCAAUUUUCUAAUUGCAUUUAAAAGAUAAUACAUCUUGUUUUAAUUUAAACACUAUCGGAUUACUUGAUUGUGUUUUACAUGCACGUAGAGUCUAAAAAGUUUCAACUUAGAUUUUAAAAGUCUUUUAAAAUAGACGUCAUGCGUAAAAUUCAUGGCUUUGUGGUUCAUAGUUUGUUUCUCAAGUAAGGAACAUGAAUUCCUUUGAAAGUUGAAUAUCAUUUUCUAAAAAAUGGAAAU